GACGAACCGUGCGAACGUUGUUCGGAAUCACUGGGCUUAAAGGGCGCGUAGGCGGGCGGUCCAGUCUUUUGUGAAAUCCUCCGGCUCAACCGGAGAAUAGCAGGAGAUACUGACCGUCUCGAGGGGGGUAGGGGCAUGUGGAACUUCCGGUGGAGCGGUGAAAUGCGUAGAUAUCAGGAAGAACACCGAUGGCGAAGGCAGAUCUCUGGGCCGUAACUGACGCUGAGGGGCGAAAGCAUGGGGAGCGAACAGG
rnacentral:rRNA from 1 species